CCCAGGCCGGUGUCGAAACGGUCUUGAUCGCACGCCGCUCGCCCUAUGCCGACAACCGGACCACGGCCAUGCUCGGCGGCUCGGUGGAUUUCCUGCAAUCGCUGGAUGUCUGGCGGCGCUGUGCCGAUGACGCGGCUGCACUGUGCACGAUGCGGCUGGGGGGGGNCGCGCCGCCUGAUCCGCUCGCCUGAAGUCAAAUUCUCGUCGGACGAGAUCGGCAUGGAGGCGUUCGGCUACAACAUCGAGAACCGUCUGCUGAUGGUCGCGAUGGAAGCGCGCGCGGCCGAGUUACCGAAUCUUGUG
rnacentral:misc_RNA from 1 species